AACGCACCUUGCGCUCUGUGGUUAUUCCGCAGAGCAUGUCUGUUUGAGUGUCGCGAUACUUCUCAACCCCGCUUCAUUAACUUGAAGUAGUUUGGGCUUGGAUCAUGGUCGUUGCCGGCAUUAGCCAGGCUCGAUUGAAAUACAACAAGCUGGAUGAUGCUAUUAGCGGCUUGAACCUAACGUUGUAAUUACCUAUUCGUUAGGCUACGCUUUCAGUGUUCAAUGAGCUUACCAAUUGAUUAAGAACUUUAUUGUUCAAUUUGACCUCAAAUCAAGCAGGACUACCCGCUGAACUUAA
rnacentral:misc_RNA from 1 species